rnacentral:rRNA from 1 species
AGCCUGAUGCGCCAUGCCGCGUGUAUGAAGAAGGCCUUCGGGUUGUAAAGUACUUUCAGUUGUGAGGAAGGGGGUAGCGUUAAUAGCGCUGUCUCUUGACGUUAGCAACAGAAGAAGCACCGGCUAACUCCGUGCCAGCAGCCGCGGUAAUACGGAGGGUGCGAGCGUUAAUCGGAAUUACUGGGCGUAAAGCGCAUGCAGGUGGUUCAUUAAGUCAGAUGUGAAAGCCCGGGGCUCAACCUCGGAACUGCAUUUGAAACUGGUGAACUAGAGUACUGUAGAGGGGGGUAGAAUUUCAGGUGUAGCGGUGAAAUGCGUAGAGAUCUGAAGGAAUACCAGUGGCGAAGGCGGCCCCCUGGACAGAUACUGACACUCAGAUGCGAAAGCGUGGGGAGCAAACAGGAUUAGAUACCCUGGUAGUCCACGCCGUAAACGAUGUCUACUUGGAGGUUGUGGCCUUGAGCCGUGGCUUUCGGAGCUAACGCGUUAAGUAGACCGCCUGGGGAGUACGGUCGCAAGAUUAAAACUCAAAUGAAUUGACGGGGGCCCGCACAAGCGGUGGAGCAUGUGGUUUAAUUCGAUGCAACGCGAAGAACCUUACCUACUCUUGACAUCCAGAGAAGCCAGCGGAGACGCAGGUGUGCCUUCGGGAGCUCUGAGACAGGUGCUGCAUGGCUGUCGUCAGCUCGUGUUGUGAAAUGUUGGGUUAAGUCCCGCAACGAGCGCAACCCUUAUCCUUGUUUGCCAGCGAGUAAUGUCGGGAACUCCAGGGAGACUGCCGGUGAUAAACCGGAGGAAGGUGGGGACGACGUCAAGUCAUCAUGGCCCUUACGAGUAGGGCUACACACGUGCUACAAUGGCGCAUACAGAGGGCAGCAAGCUAGCGAUAGUGAGCGAAUCCCAAAAAGUGCGUCGUAGUCCGGAUUGGAGUCUGCAACUCGACUCCAUGAAGUCGGAAUCGCUAGUAAUCGUAGAUCAGAAUGCUACGGUGAAUACGUUCCCGGGCCUUGUACACACCGCCCGUCACACCAUGGGAGUGGGCUGCAAAAGAAGUGGGUAGUUUAACCUUUCGGGGAGGACGCUCACACUUUGGGGUCAUGAUGG